rnacentral:rRNA from 1 species
AAAAGUGAAAGACGGUCUUGCUGUCACUUAUAGAUGGAUCCGCGCUGCAUUAGCUAGUUGGUAAGGUAACGGCUUACCAAGGCAACGAUGCAUAGCCGACCUGAGAGGGUGAUCGGCCACACUGGAACUGAGACACGGUCCAGACUCCUACGGGAGGCAGCAGUAGGGAAUCUUCCGCAAUGGGCGAAAGCCUGACGGAGCAACGCCGCGUGAGUGAUGAAGGUCUUCGGAUCGUAAAACUCUGUUAUUAGGGAAGAACAUAUGUGUAAGUAACUGUGCACAUCUUGACGGUACCUAAUCAGAAAGCCACGGCUAACUACGUGCCAGCAGCCGCGGUAAUACGUAGGUGGCAAGCGUUAUCCGGAAUUAUUGGGCGUAAAGCGCGCGUAGGCGGUUUUUUAAGUCUGAUGUGAAAGCCCACGGCUCAACCGUGGAGGGUCAUUGGAAACUGGAAAACUUGAGUGCAGAAGAGGAAAGUGGAAUUCCAUGUGUAGCGGUGAAAUGCGCAGAGAUAUGGAGGAACACCAGUGGCGAAGGCGACUUUCUGGUCUGUAACUGACGCUGAUGUGCGAAAGCGUGGGGAUCAAACAGGAUUA